rnacentral:rRNA from 1 species
CAGUCGCCGCGGUAAUACGUAGGUGGCAAGCGUUAUCCGGAAUUACUGGGUGUAAAGGGAGCGUAGACGGUUAAACAAGUCUGAAGUGAAAUGCCGGGGCUCAACCCCGGAGCUGCUUUGGGAACUGUAGAACUGGAGUGUCGGAGGGGUAAGCGGAAUUCCCAGUGUAGCGGUGAAAUGCGUAGAUAUUGGGAGGAACACCGGCGGCGAAGGCGGCUUACUGGACGACAACUGACGUUGAGGCUCGAAGGCGUGGGUAGCAAACAGGAUUAGAUACCCCUGUAGUCCCUGUCUCUUAUAC